GAUGAACGCUGGCGGCGUGCCUAAUACAUGCAAGUCGAGCGAACAGACGAGGAGCUUGCUCCUCUGACGUUAGCGGCGGACGGGUGAGUAACACGUGGAUAACCUACCUAUAAGACUGGGAUAACUUCGGGAAACCGGAGCUAAUACCGGAUAAUAUAUUGAACCGCAUGGGUCAAUAGUGAAAGACGGUUUUGCGGUCACUUAUAGAUGGAUCCGCGCCGCAUGAGAUGGUUGGUAAGGUAAGGGGCUACCAAGGCGACGAUGGGUAGCCGACAUGAGGGGGGGAUCGGCCACACGGGAACUGAGACACGGACAAGAGGCCUAAGGGAGGCAGCAGUAGGGAAUCUUACGCAAUGGGCGAAAGCCUGACGGAGCAACGCCGCGUGAGUGAUGAAGGUCUUCGGAUCGUAAAGCUCUGUUAUGAGGGAAGAACAAAUGUGUAAGUAACUAUGCACGUCUUGACGGUACCUAAUCAGAAAGCCACGGCUAACUACGUG
rnacentral:rRNA from 1 species